GCUCUAUAAAUCAAAAUGAACAUUGCCAUGAGAUGUUCCAAAUGAUAAAACUAAGGCUUCGCGUAAGAAGGUGCUUCUUCUGACAAUUUUCUUAUUUUUUAAGAUACUAUCCAAAAUCACCGAUUUCAAACAUUUUCGCGAAAAACCAGCUAUCCGGAAUUACCAAAGCAUUAAAUCUUCAAUAAUUAAACAUGGUAAUCACACCAAACAGCGCAUUUUCAAACUCAUCUGAUUACCGCAUGUGUAAGAAUCUAUAUUCUUUGCCCACAACUUUACCAAAUAACCGUAUCUCAAACCUAUGAAUCUUCAUUAAAUUGCACGGGAAAAUCUAUACUCCUACUCCUAGUGUUUUAACGAAUGCUUUUUUAUUGCUAAAAGAAUAGGCCAUUUGCAACUUUUGAGAGAGUUUUUAAACAUGUAUCUCAACUGCGUUCUAAAUGUCCAACAUUUUUCGAGAAUGUUAAGAAACCUAGUUUUCUAAAAUAUUCCUUCUAACCUUUCAUUUUCUUCAAAAUUCAUUUACACCUGUCGCAAUAUAAAAAGGGAAAAAAUUGACAUACGUUUUAGGCGAUGAUCGCUUAUUUCCAACAUCGGUUUAAUAAUUUGAGUGUCAAAAUCAUAAUUAUAAAAAUUGAUGUCGAUAAAUUAGCUUCCUUUAUGAGUUCAAACUAAUUUCUUUAUGCUAUUACUACUAAAGCUAUGCCAAUGGUACUCAGGAUUAAAGGUGGCCACGUGGUCAGUCUUUAUCACUAUUGAUCUCGGUUCUUUAACAAACCUACUUGUCCAUUUAGCACCCUGUAGUUGUUACCAAUCAGCUAUCUAAUCUCGGCCGUCUCUAGAUCCGUUUGGAUAGACGCUAUUAUUUAUUUUACCUAGCCCCAACUUUUUCGGUAUCAGGCGAAGAAGAAGAAA